GCGGCAAAAUGGCGGCGUGAAGCGAGAGCGUGGGGCCGGGUCGAGCGGGGGCAAAGUUUGGGGCGGGCUCGAGGCGGGGCAGAACCGGGGCAGAACCGGCCGCAAAGUCACUGGGACCCUGGGCGGAGCCGAGCCCCACCGGAUUCAGAGAAAGAACUAGGAUAAAAGGCCUAUGUAAGAGGAAGCAAUGAGUCUUUGUUGAAGCAUCACACAGCAGGCACCCAGUGCUCUUGAAAUCAUGAGAAUGCAUUUCAGCAGGG